AACGAACGCUGGCGGCAUGCCUAACACAUGCCAGUCGAACGAAGGCUUCGGCCUUAGUGGCGCACGGGUGCGUAACGCGUGGGAAUCUGCCCUUUGGUUCGGAAUAACAGCUGGAAACGGCUGCUAAUACCGGAUGAUGACGAAAGUCCAAAGAUUUAUCGCCAGAGGAUGAGCCCGCGUUGGAUUAGGUAGUUGGUGGGGUAAAGGCCUACCAAGCCGACGAUCCAUAGCUGGUCUGAGAGGAUGAUCAGCCACACUGGGACUGAGACACGGCCCAGACUCCUACGGGAGGCAGCAGUGGGGAAUAUGGGACAAUGGGCGCAAGCCUGAUCCAGCAAUGCCGCGGGAGUGAUGAAGGCCCUAGGGUUGUAAAGCUCUUUUACCCGGGAAGAUAAUGACUGUACCGGGAGAAUAAGCCCCGGCUAACUCCGG
rnacentral:rRNA from 1 species